rnacentral:misc_RNA from 1 species
GUCUUGUUUAUAGCGCUUAUCCAGUUUUUUGAUCUGUUAUUUUGAUGAAUAUGGUUUUUAAUUAUUAGUUAGUAUUAUUGUUAACUACUAACUGUUGUUAGUGUCAGUUAAGCAGCAAGAAAGUAAUAUUACAGUGUUUAUUUGUAAGAAGUAGAUCCUUGGUUAUCUUUCUGAUGUUACUGAGUGCUCGAUAUAAUUGGUAGUGGCCCUUUGUUGUGAUUUUCUUUAUGUAAUAAUCUUAUAGCUUGGCAUCACCCUUUAUGGGAUGGCAAUUGGCUAUCUUUUCCAGUGGCCAUUUGUAGAGAAGAUUUAAUUUUUU